UUGAGUGAGUGGCGGACGGGUGAGUAACACGUGGGUAACCUGCCCUAAAGUGGGGGAUAACAUUUGGAAACAGAUGCUAAUACCGCAUAAAACCUAACACCGCAUGGUGUAGGGUUGAAAGAUGGUUUCGGCUAUCACUUUAGGAUGGACCCGCGGUGCAUUAGUUAGUUGGUGAGGUAAAGGCUCACCAAGACCGUGAUGCAUAGCCGACCUGAGAGGGUAAUCGGCCACACUGGGACUGAGACACGGCCCAGACUCCUACGGGAGGCAGCAGUAGGGAAUCUUCCACAAUGGACGAAAGUCUGAUGGAGCAACGCCGCGUGAGUGAAGAAGGUUUUCGGAUCGUAAAACUCUGUUGUUGGAGAAGAAUGUAUCUGAUAGUAACUGAUCAGGUAGUGACGGUAUCCAACCAGAAAGCCACGGCUAACUACGUGCCAGCAGCCGCGGUAAUACGUAGGUGGCAAGCGUUGUCCGGAUUUAUUGGGCGUAAAGCGAGCGC
rnacentral:rRNA from 1 species